rnacentral:lncRNA from 1 species
CUCUCUUGAAUGAUCAAAACUUAGAAGAAAAGAGGGAGAAGAACUUCUAGCAUUUUAGAAUACUUUUAAGCUCUCAAAUUCUCAGAAUAAAUGCUAAAUUCCGGUGCCCUUUUAUGUAGGAAAGGGUGGGGUUUAUAUAGGCCUCAACUGGUUUGAAUUUGGAGCUCAAAAGUGUCAUCUCCCGGAUUUUCGGGGUUAUGACGGUACUAC